GCGGUUGUAGCUCAGUUGGAUAGAGCGUCCGCCUCCUAAGCGGCAGGUCGUGAGUUCGACUCUCACCAAUCGCACCA
rnacentral:tRNA from 6 species